rnacentral:rRNA from 1 species
CCUACGGGGGGCAGCAGUGAGGAAUAUUGGUCAAUGGACGAGAGUCUGAACCAGCCAAGUAGCGUGAAGGAUGACUGCCCUAUGGGUUGUAAACUUCUUUUAUAUGGGAAUAAAAUGUUCCACGUGUGGGAUUUUGUAUGUACCAUAUGAAUAAGGAUCGGCUAACUCCGUGCCAGCAGCCGCGGUAAUAAGGAGGAUCCGAGCGUUAUCCGGAUUUAUUGGGGUUAAAGGGAGCGUAGGUGGAUUGUUAAGUCAGUUGUGAAAGUUUGCGGCUCAACCGUAAAAUUGCCGUUGAAACGGGCAGUCUUGAGUACAGUAGAGGUGGGCGGAAUUCGUGGUGUAGCGGUGAAAUGCUUAGAUAUCACGAAGAACUCCGAUUGCGAAGGCAGUUCACUGGACUGCAACUGACACUGAGGCUCGAAAGUGUGGGUAUCAAACAGGAUUAGAUACCCGUGUAGUC